rnacentral:tRNA from 1 species
GCCAUAGCUCAGUUGGUAGAGCAUGAGAUUCUUAAUCUCAGGGUCAUGGGUUUGAGCCCUAUGUUGGGUG